rnacentral:rRNA from 1 species
UUUUAAGGCUAGUAAUUUAAAUCUAAAAAGAAAACAAGUAACGUGAGUGAAUGGUGAAAAGAAAUGGUUAAAAGACUCUGAAAUUCGAUGUGUAGAAUCACUUAAAGCAAAGGCAAUAAGGUACCUUUUGCAUAAUGGACUAACAAGUUAAUACUUUAAAAGUGUUUUCUCUAACAAAACCUAUUUAUUUUAGAAUAUUAGACUCGAAGCUAGUCGAUCUAAUAAUGAACAGGUGUAAGACCGAACUCGUGAAUGUUGCAAAAUUCUGAGAUGAUUUAUUAUUAGGGGUGAAAGGCCAAUCAAGAUUAGUGAUAGCUAGUUCUCCGUGAAAUGUAUUUAAGUACAGUUUCUUUUUUACCCAACGGGGUAAGACAAUCUUAAUAUUUUAUAAUUUUGAGAAAAAUUAAAUACGUUGGUUUUAUAAAGAAAAACAGACUUACCGUGUUAAGGCGAUAAGUCAAGAGGGAAACAGCCCAGAUCCAAAGAUAAGGUUGUUAAUAAGAGAUAAAAAAAAUGGGGUUUGAACAUACGUACUCAAAAAGUAAACUUAAAAGUAGUUACCUAUUUAAGAGAGUGUGAUAACUCAUUUAGUACUUUAAAAAUAAUGGUAUUUUUUUUUUAUGUUUUAUUCUCAAAUAAUGUAAGCAAGUGUUCUCUAAACCGAAACUUGGAGUUUUACGGUAACGGAGUGCUUUGUAGUCGGUCGAAGCAAAUACGUAAUUAUAUGUGAACGAAUCAAUUUUAAUAAUGUUAGUGCGAGUAGUGUUAAGUACUAUGUGCAAUUCUGUACGGCCGAAAAAUCUAAAGUUUCGUUGUAAAGGAUAUC